rnacentral:rRNA from 1 species
AGGACGAACGCUGGCGGCGUGCCUAACACAUGCAAGUCGAACGCGCUCCAUUCGGUAGCAAUACUGAUGAAGAGUGAGUGGCGAACGGGUGAGUAACACAUGAGCAACCUGCCCCGAAGACCGGGACAACACCGGGAAACCGGUGCUAAUACCGGAUAUCCCUAUCGGACCGCAUGAUCUGAUAAGGAAAUGGAUUCCGCUUCGGGAGGGGCUCGUGGCCUAUCAGCUAGUUGGUGAGGUAACGGCUCACCAAGGCAUCGACGGGUAGCUGGUCUGAGAGGACGAUCAGCCACACUGGGACUGAGACACGGCCCAGACUCCUACGGGAGGCAGCAGUGGGGAAUCUUGCGCAAUGGGCGAAAGCCUGACGCAGCAACGCCGCGUGGAGGACGAAGGCUUUCUGAGUUGUAAACUCCUUUCAGCAGGGACGAUAGUGACGGUACCUGCAGAAGAGCACCGGCAACUACGCGCCAGCAG